AUAAAGGUUCGGCUUUAGUAUACUAUCUAGUAAAUGGGUAUGGUUGGAAAGAGGACAUUAUUCAGAUUAAGAAUAUAAUAUAUUCUUAAUGUAUAUUAUACACAUAUAGCUGCAGCUAUUUGUGAGAUAUUCGCACUUAAAGUUCUAAAAUUUUAAACUUUUAACACGUUAUUUAUCACUGUAUAUUGAAUUUUUCACAUAAAUAAUUUGUGUCUACAUAUUUAUUUUGCAUUAUUUGGUACGAAAUUUGCUCGAAAUAAGCAUUUUUAUUUUUAUUCAAUUCUAUCAAUUCACACAAUAACAAAAGGGAUGCAUGCGGAUAAAAAAUAAUUGUUGCUAUAUUCAUAUUUUACAGAAGAAUCAAACUAAAUAAAAAGAAGGAUUUUAACCCAAAUACAGAAACCGCAAUCGUCUGAAAGGUAAUGAAAAAUAGUCUUUGUCUUUGCUUUGGUUGGCUCGACUAGCGCGGCCGAAGCAUCCAAUGCAGAAAGUAGUACUACGCGAUAGAACUUGCCAUUUCCAUAGCUUUCAUAAUCCCCGGUGUUGACUCGGGUUCCAUGUUGACAGAUAACAAGUGUUGUUAUAUCUACAUAUUUUACAAACGAAUCAAAGUGAAUAAAGAAGGACAUUGUACCAUAAAUAUAUGAAUCAUAAUCAUUUCAUUCCUUUCUCUUAAUAAACCAUGUUGUCGUAUCGACCAGGACCAGAAGGCCGCCAUUGCAGAAAGAAGUAAUACCCGAAAGUACUAAGGACGACCUUGGUGUUGGAUCGAUCAGGCUUAUUUUUUUGAAGCGCAUCCGAAGGUCGCCAAUGCGGAAACAGGGUAUUUGUUUCCUGCCUUGGAGUUAAUUUUUUAUUGUUUUCAUUCGUUUGGAUAUGGUAACACUUGUUAUAUGUCAACAUGGAACUCAUUUUGCACAUAAACAAAAUUAUGUACAAAUUAAAAUGCUUAUUUAAAGCAAAUAUUAUAAGAAUUAAUAUAAAAUAAAUAUGUAAAAACAAUGUAGUGAAGUGUUAGUGUACGACGAGAAUUUUUAAAUGAGGGACGCCACACUUCAACAGCAGAAUUUAGGCAAUAUGCAGUAUUCACUGGUACUUGAUUUAUAUACAUACAUACAUACAUAUACAGCCCUAUUCUGUGCACUUUACAAAUUUCUCAUUUAGAAAAAUUUUAAAUUUAUCGAGCACUAGCUGGCCCAGCAGAGAAGUUUCUUCCGCCUUACAGGCGAUAAAUGAGCAUAUUUUUGAUUUUAUUGAGUUCAUUUUCAUGCAUUGAUUAUGAUAAUAAAAAAAUUAAGUAUUUUAAUGAUUCUUUAUUAGCUAUGUAUUUUGGUGCAUGGGUGGCACUCUUCAGUGAAGCACCUUGUAAUUUACAAUCAGACGUUUUUCAUUUUAUAAUCAGGCAAGAACAAAUUACGGAGAUGGUCGUCUGUCCCGUGAACAUGCCACAUAAACAUAAUUGACCAUUUGAAAAACAUGCAUUUUCUAAAUUCAGGCCACAUAUUUCAAGGAGUAGCCUUCUCAUCUGUUAACAGUCAUAGAGAAUGUAAGACAGAUCGCAAAUUAAAGUCGUUUAAACUCCAAUGGCAAAUCGGUUGCUAUCACCGGAAUUCUCGGAAUGAGAACUUCUUCACCUUCGAACUUUCCAUUGAGUAUCAUGGCAUAGAUCACAUUGUUCAUAAAUUUUCUUUACCACUAAACGCGUUCAGUUAGCCAGUUUUAUUUGGUUUAAGUUUCGAAGCAUGACUACUACGGAGCCAAUAGUCGCAAAUUGUGCGAUGGCAAGCCAGGCACGUCCAAGAAUUUAAAAAUAUCAAUUGGAUCACAGUUAGUGACUUUUAUUACACAAUUAAUAGAUUUGAAUGAAUGAAGUGCACCAAUUAUCUCAUUCUGAAUUAUGUAUUUUAGGUUAAUUUUUAUUCUUAGACUUGCUUCAUUAUUUUUGUGUAGUAUAAAAUAUAUUACUACUCUCCAACGAAAAUUAAUAAAUAGCAUGAAAGCCUAAUCGAUCAUCUUCUAAUAAUGGUUUGAAUUGUAAUUUUUUAAUACAUGAGUCACGUCCAGUUCUAUGAGUUCUUAUCUAUUUAUAAUAAUAAUUAUAGAGAAUGGAAUACUUAACAUUUUUCUCCAUGAAUCAAACAUUUAAUUUUAUUAUUUCUUUUAUAAUAAAUUAUCAGACAAUUACAAACUAAUUGGUCUUUCAGAAGUUGGUCUAAAAAUUAUGCUUUCGCUACAAUUAAAGGGUAAGGAAUGUUCGGUCAAUGGAUACAAAAUGUUGACUGAUUACAUUUAGGAUGACUUGGACCGAUUAUCUACUACAACAGUUUUAUUUGGUGUCUUUAAACACGUAUUUGCAAUUUCUUUUGAACUGUAGUUUAGUUUUCUUCAAUCGUUGAUGUUUGAAAUCUAUUACGGUGAAUAAAGAGAUCAGCAUCUCAAUAUAUGUAACUGAAUAAGAUAAUUAAAAAGCGGUUCCAAGGUUUUUACACAAACAUUUAAUUUCAGCGAACUAUUUUCUAUUCACGUAUUUUUAAUUAAAAUUUAUAAUUUUUUUUUGUCAUUUGCGCUUAUUUUCAUUUUCAUCAUGAUAUAAAUUUUUUUGUUUAUUUUUGUUCCUUUUUUUAUUUAUCAGAUUGAUGUUGUGAUUGAACAUUUUUUUGUUUUUCAGUUUUGUUUUCAUUUUUAUGAAAAGAAAGCCUAAUCAGAUGUUUUGAACAAUAAAUUUUGUUUUAUAUGGAAUGUCAAUUGCGUUUUUUAUUCCACAGUUUAUUCACGUUCUCGUCAAGAGAAAUGUAUAAAAUGUAUCCUAUGUCCUGCCCCCGGUGCUAAGCUACCUCCAAACCAAAUUUAAGCCAAAUCGGUUCAGCCGUUCUUCAGUUAUAAAGACUUGAACUAACACGACUUUCUUUUAUAUAUAUAGAUUUCGUAUUCUGUCUCUAAAAUAAAAAGCUUUUUCCUUGAUGAAUUGUUAAAAAGUAAAAUGCUUUUUACAAACAAAAUAUCUCGAUACUGCGUUCGGACCGACAUUGAAAACAUGUUUUCAUUGAAAAAAUGGGUUUUCGUUCGAAAACUUGUGUUUUCAUCCACGCAAAAUCUGUCAAACGAAAUCACAGUUUUCGCUGAAAACUUCUUAAAAACUUACAUUCCAAUCAUUAUAAUCGAUGUCUGCUCUAGUUUAGUCGAUAUUAUUGGAAGACAUAUUUUGCCAGCUCUAAAUUGUCAUUUGAUAUUGUAUACAAAUUCCACUACUUUGUCAAAAUAAUGGAGAAACAGAAAUAAAAAUAAAAGAGUGCGUAGAGUCCCUACGCGCGGAAGAAGUUAUACUGCUUAGUGAUAUUCCAAGAAAUGCAUAUAAUUUUGUAUGAAAGAAAACUAGCAAGAGACACUUUCUUAAAUUCACAUUUUAUAAAUUUAUUAUACACAUUUUAUAAACCAAAGUCCAAAUCAAUUAUCAUUUCUGGGUUCUGACGGAUUAAUAUCUAUAAUAUUUACAAUUGGAUUAUGAUAACUAAAAUACGAUAUGAAAUGUCUUACAUCUAUUUUAUCUAUAUUUCUCGCGAAUACCGUAUCAAUAGUCGUACCUCCUUUUGUCGUAGGAUCAUUUCUUCCAUUGAUCAUUUGAAAUACAAUCAUACAUAUGCGUACACAUUUUUCCGAAGUCGUACAAGAAGUAUAACUUCAAAAAAAAUUAAUUUUAUUGAAAUAAAAAAUUUACUGCCCCGAGUGAGGCUCGAACCCACAACCUUAAGAAAUUUUAAAAAUUUAAUUUUAUUGAAAUAAAUAAAAAAUUUAAUGCUCCGGGUGAGGCUCGAACCCACAACCUUAAGAAAUUUGAAAAAUUUAAUUUUAUUGAAAUAAAUUAAAAAUUUAAUGUCCCGGGUGGGGCUCGAACCCACAACCUUAAGAAAUUUUAAAAAUUUAAUUUUAUUGAUAUAAAUAAAAAAUUUAAUGCCCCGGGUGAGGCUCGAACCCACAAACUUAAGAAAUUUGAAAAAUUUGAAUUUAUUGAAAUAAAUAAAAAAUUUAAUGCCCCGGGUGAGGCUCGAACCCACAACCUUAAGAUUAAGAUUAUUAUGUAGUACAUACACAUAUGAAUAUGGUUAUACAUACACAUGUGAAUAUGUCACCAACCAAAAGUAAUACUUUCGAUUUGCAAAGAAAGUAAAUGAAGACUGACUACAGGAAAUGAUCCUGUGAAGCAUAGUCUUAACUUUUCAACGGCAAACGCAGAGAAUUUCAACCAAAAGUCACAUAAACUAGUUGAGAAUUCGCAGAAAUGAAACAGAAACGGAAGAAAAAAAAUCAAAAGAACCAUACGCAUAAUAUUCGCAAAUUUGUUUACAUGCAUAUGUGUGUAAAUAUGUGCACUCGUAGCACAUUUCUUGUAAAAUCUUCGUUGCCACGGACAACGAAUGACCGCAAAUAGUAAUUUUUUUGUCACAGACUUGUAAUCAGUGUCGCGUUUUCGCAGGCAAAGAGGUCCACGUCCCCAACUCAUAUUAUUAUGGAUUGUUUUAUGUCUUGAUUUUUACUAAAAUCAAUUGUAGUACAUUAAUAUUUGGCAUCAUAUAUUAGUAGAAUAUUUAAAUACAUUUAAUUAUUUAUAUUUGCUAAUAGUAAGUCAAUACUGUCCAAAACAUAUUUUGCGCAUUUAUAAUUACGGAGGGAUCACUUGAAACGACUCUGUAAAGCUCGAUGUGUCGAAAAAUUGAUGGCCGCCCGCGCAAUGCCAAAGCGACGCAACAUUGCGCUGUUGGUAGAAAAUCGGCUUGUCGUAAAUAUGAAUAUGUAUAUGUAUGUAUGAAUAUGUAUGAGCAUGCAAUCAUAUCGACAUAAAUUUUUGGCGCUUGUUGUUUUUGUAGAAUAUUGCUUUUGAUUUUUGGUGGUUGACAAACUUACGCACGCAUAUACAAAUGUAAGAUUGUGUGUUUGUUCAAUGACAUAUAAACAUGGACAUAUGUAUGUUUAUGCAUAAUGUUGCUGUUGCGCAACAAUUAUCGCAACUUUUCCGAACUCGUAUAAGAAGGGCUAAGUUCGCGUGUGACCGAACAUUUUAUACUCUCGCAAUUUAUUUGUUUAAUGUUAUUAAGCGUGUUUUUUUUCCUUUCUCGAAUGGUGACUUUUUAUGUAUCAACAUUAUACGCAUGCUGCAUUACCUUUUUGAAUGUGUUCCAUUUUUUACAUGAUUAAAGAACAAAAAGAUAUCACCCUAUUAUGCUGGUCUUCUCUCACUGACAAUUUGAUAACUACCCAGCAAGUCAUGGGUACUGAAACUCCAACACAUUCAAAGAAAUUUCAAUAACACCACUACAUACACAUAUAUGCAACAAAGGGCAAAAUGUGCAUAAACAUUUACUUCAACUUUUCUCUCGUACAGCACCCUGAAUGAUAGAAAGAAACAACCAAAGUUCUCGUGUUUAAACAAGUUUUGUUUUAAGCUAUAUCAUGGCUGCUUGUGAAGUAUUAUUUCGCGCGUUUUAUUUAAAUCAGUGAUCUGCAGCCUAAUUAAAGUUUAAAUUAUUAAAGCACGCAUUUUUAAAUAAGUAAAACGUAAAAUAAAAGUUUUCUAAAGCCAAAAUAUGGAAUUGAAGAGGGUGAUACAGUAAUACUUCAUCGCACUGUCAAUUCGAAGCACGCAAUAGAAGCUACGCCAACAAUGGUCAGCAUCAAGGACGAAACCAUUGAAUACGUAAAUAAUUGUUGAAUAUAAUAAUAUUAUCUUGCCUUAAAUUCUAAUUAAUUUUCCAUACUGAUAUUUCAAACCUCAUACGGCCCGUUAAAGGUACGCAACCUAAUUGGUGUCACUAAUGGUAGCAGCGUAGAACUUUCUAAGCGAUGGAAUAUGCGCUGCAAGCAAAUCCAGACCUAUGGAUGCAAUCGCUGCUACAUCGAACACAAAUCUUUUACACACCAGAUAUUAGGUUUAAAGUCACAUUUUUUACGUGCAAUUAAACCUUUUGGUCAACACAAGCACGUGAAGAAUUGGAACGACAUGGUUUAGGUGCGUUUGCAACCGUUUAUCAUCGCGACGUGUGUCAACUGGGUUUUGCCAAUGAGCUAGAGGGCAAAGCAGUUGCAGUACUUUUGGACUUACCGGCACCUCAGUUGGCCGUGCCAUUAGCAGCUGAAACAUAGAAGUUAAAGGGUAAAUUUAAGUGAAUGUUUGUUGUUUACAUGACUUAGUAACAUGCAACAACAUCUCACAAACGUAAUCACAUCAUUACAUCACAAUGCAGCAGGUUACAACCCACGCCACUACACACGCACGCAUCAUACACAGCGUCUAACAUCAUCGCAAAACACAACAACCACACGAUCAUCAACGUAUUGUGUCCGAUAUUCACCACCAAAGUCAUUAAAACGGAUAGAUCCCAACGGGAUCUGCCUCAUUCGAUUCUAUCCGUGAACCAGAACGCUCGCUAUCAUCCCGGUUUAAUAUCGUUACCAGUAAGGAAUCUCAUUCCGUCCGUCCAUUCCAGUCAGGAUACGGACAUCCGUUCUAGUGCGCUGUGUGUGUGUGCGGUGACUCAUCGUAUCUAAACUAAGUUAUUAAAGAUAAACCAAAUUGUUUUCGACGAAAGUCAAUAUACCAACAUAUGUUCAUAUUAGAAUAAAUUAAGUCGAAAAUUUAAUAAUAAAUAAUUAUAACGUUUAACGAGUCUUGAGUGUUUCCGAUUUCACUUUCGAUUCAUACUUUCCGCACGUAAAUAUACCAGUGUCAUACGUAUACAAAUGGUCCUUCGAGCCGGAAGUCACACAUUCGUUUCAAAUCAAAAUAAUCAACGGCAAUCAUUGUGUGAGCUCUGUACUGAAGGUCAUAAGUUAAGAUCUUGCGAGAGAUUCAAAAACUUACCCGCUUCAGAUAGAAACAAUCUUGUUUCUGCAACACAAACUUUGCAAAAACUGUCUGUCAAACUAUCAUAUGACAAGAGACUAUGAAAGCAAAUUCAAUUGUGUAUAUUGCCAACGAAGACAUCACUCAUUGCUUCAUAUUAACAAUUUUCAAAAUAUGAAGCAAAAUCAAUUUCAAAAAACCACGGGGUUAGUCGCUACGACCACAUCAAAUAAUCCCGAAACAUCAAAUCCUGAAAAAAUGGAAGAACAACCAUGUUGCUCUAAAGCAGCAAAUAUUCAAACGCUUCAUUCAGAAAAUGAAAUUCUUUUACCCACUGCGGUCAUCACCAUUGAACAUAAGGGUGAUUUAUUCAAAUUAAGAGCACUAAUAGAUCAAGGCUCUCAAAGAUCCUUUAUAUUUUCAAAGGGUCAAAAUCGGCUCAAACUGCCAAUAAAACAUUCUAACUUUCAAAUCUCGGGAAUGGGUGGAAGAAUUAUUCAAAAUUCCAACAAAAUAUGCUCAAGCACCAUAGUAUCUCCAAGUGCGGAUAUUAGAAUAGAUGCACAAGCAAUCGUUCUACCGCAACUUACAAAUCUGCUUCCAAGCUAUGAAGUCAAUAAAAAACACUGGGAAAAAUGCUCACAUCUGAAGUUAGCAGAUCCCAACUGUCAUACCCCAUCGCAAAUCGACAUAUAAUUAGGCAGUGACUUAAUACCUCAAAUAAUUCUUGAAGGUAUUGAGAAAAUCUCCAAUAAAUUGUUAGCUCAAAAUACAAUCUUUGGAUGGAUUAUAAGUGGCCAAGUCACUGAAAAAAUCAAUUCUUUCACCACUCAAGUGGAAAAUAUCUCAAAUGAGUAUCUAAAUAAUGAACUUAAAAAAUUCUGGGAAGUAGAUGAAUUACCUCAGACUAUCCAACCUUCAGAAGAAGACCAUGCAUGCGAAGCCUUCUACAAGUCCACAACAACAUGAAACGGACAUGGUCGUUAUGUUGUGCGACUACCAUUCAAACCAACUUUUCCAGAAACCAUAGCUCUAGUCCACUCUAGAAUAUCAGCAGUCCAGCAAUUUCUAAGUCUGGAAAAGAGCCUGAUAAAGCGAGCUUUAAUAAGUAUGUGAUGGACGAAUAUCUCGAUCUCAAUCAUAUGGAAGAGACUGUACCAUAUGAAAAAGUAUUAUAUGUCACAUCACGGGGUAAUUAGACCAGAUAAAAUUACAACAAAAGUACGAGUAGUUUUCAAUGCCUCGAAGAAUACUAGCUCAGGCAAAUCACUCAAUGAUGUACUAUACACAGGGCCAACGUUACAACCUGAUCUCAUAUACGUGGACGAUAUACUUUCAGGUAGCCACAGUAUUCCAAUAGCAUGCGAAUCAUUAUCGCAAGUGAUCGUAGCACUGAAAUCGGCAGGUUUUCCCUUAAAGAAAAUCACAUCAAAUCACCCCGAAAUAAUAAAAGAUAUAAAAAAGGAAGACUUAUUAGAUACAGACUUUCUUAAAUUUGAAAAGGCUAGCACAACCAAAACUCUAGGGAUUCAAUGGAAUGCGAUAACAGAUCAAUUCUCAUAUACAAUUGAGUCAAUAUCUGUAAUGUCCGUCAUUACAAAACGCCAAAUACUUUCCUCGGUGGCAAAACUUUUCGACCCCGCAGGAUGGCUUUCGCCAAUAAUGAUUCAAACAAAAAUCUCAUCCAAGAAUUGUGGCAAGAUGGCACUGAAUGGGAUGAACAGGUAAAACCUGUACGUUUAACUAAAUGGGUUCAAUUUGCUAACAACUUACACACCAUAUCGGAAAGUCGAAUCCCUCGAUGGGUCAACUUCACCCCUGACAUUAAUGUAGAACUACACGGUUUCUGUGACGCCUCUGAAAAGGCAUAUUGCGCAACGGUCUACGUACGAACUCACAUAUCUUGGUAGCCAAAGCCAAAGUUGCACCUUUGAAGACACUAAGCCUGCCACGGCUCGAACUUAAUGGUGCUCUUCUGUUAGCAAAAUUAAUUUCAAUAGUUCAAACCCAUCUCAAAUUAAACGAUCACAAAAUGUAUCUUUGGUCAGACUCAGAAAUAGUUUUAGCAUGGUUAGAAAAACCACCAUAUACAUGGAAGACCUAUGUCUCUAAUUGCAUAUCACAAAUCUUAGAUUUAGUUGGCCCAGCCAAAUGGCAACAUGUUGCGAGUGCAGAUAACCCAGCGGAUCUUGGGACAAGGGGACACUUCACCUCACCAGCACUACAGUCUGGUGGAACGGUCCUACAUGGCUAACAGAAUCACAAGAGUUCUGGCCAAAUCUCCUGCUCGGAAUAUAAUACCGCCAGAGAGUCGGAGAAUUGAAAAUUUCCAUAUCACUCCCGAAGAGGACGAUAUUCUCCAUCGAUUUUCAUCAUUUCCUAAAUCGCUAAGGGUAGUCGCUUACAUGCACAAAUUUACCCAAAGACUUAGAAAAAAAUUAAAGGAAUACCAAAUGACCCUUUCGUGCAACUAACGCAUUCCUACUUGCAACAUGCCAAAGUUAGUAUCAUCACAUACACCCAAACUUGCUAUCUCAAUAGAGAAAAAUGUAAGUUGCUAGAUAGACAUCCUCUCGAAAAGGGAAGCUCCUCUUCUCGCCAUACCUGAGACGGAAGGAGACUCACUCUCUUUAAUAAAUCGAUGGGAAAGAAUAAAGAUUCUCUAUCACGAAUUCAGCCACAGAUGGAAGGUGGAUUAUCUCAAAGAUCUCCAUAAGAGAUAUCGAUGAAAAACAACCCAAAAGGAACCCAAUGCCGGAGAAUGCGUCAUCAUACAGGACGAAUGCCUUCCUCCAACGGAAUGGCGACUAGGCCACAUCGAAAAGGUUCAUCGAAGAUCAGAUGGUCAUAUAAGAGUAGUCGAUGUACGAACACAAACUGGAAUAUUAACUCGACCAGUCGUAAAAUUGUGCUUUCUUCCAAACAGCGAAGACCACCAACCAAAACCGCAAACUAAAUCGCAAAAUUAAUCAAAAAUAAAUAAUCAAUACCGCAAAUUCGCAAAAAAAUCCGAAAUUCAAUCUUUUAAAAUUCGUAGACACAAAACCAAUCCUAACAAACGCGAUUAGAUCAAUUAUAUGUGUAUAUCGAUAUGUAUAUGUACCCCAUAACCAAAAAUAAUCGGCCCUAUUCCCGUUGUCGUUGUCGUUUUAAUAGUCGUUUCUAAGUAGUCGUCGUUCUUAUCGUCGUUUCGUUCCUAAAUUGGUAUUCUUGAAGUAUAUCGUAACGCCUAAGAAAAGUUAUCGAAAUUUUUCUACAUAUUUUAUAUAGUAUACUUUAAGGAGCUCUUUUCCCAUAUAAAAAUUCUUAUGUAACGAGACACAUUUUUAAAGCAGUCCUUUAAACAGCGUUAUCACUGUAAUUAUUGUACUUACGUACAACAAUGUUAGUCUUCCAUCUUUAUUUGAUUUUUUAAAAGAAAUAGUGGUGACAUCUGCGUACUCCAAUCUUUCUUCUAAAAUAUGUUAUACUUCCAUCGUCUCAUGCUCCUUGCUUCUGGCUAAUCCGACUACUCUACCGAACACAGCCAAAGGAGACAUGGGUAUCUGUUUAUUAACUCCUCGUCUUGUUGGAGUACUAUUUUUUUCUUCGUUUUGAAUUUUAAGACCUUUCAUAUCUUAAAUAUACUCUUAGAUAUAAAAAUGCAAUUUUAUUAAUGCCAACAAUUUCCGACGCGAGAUGGCGGUGGAAUGGAUGUAGGUUUUUUUUAGAAAAAAAAAUACCUCUCCCAAAAAAUCGAAAUUUAAAGGAUUUAUCCCUUUUCUAAAGUCAUUGGCAUAUGCAGGAUAUUUUUCCAUUUCAGAAAUUAAAUUUUCAAACUGUUUCCGAUUUGGAAUUUUCAUCUUCAUUUUAAGUAUUCCUUCAAACAACCGCGUCGUUUCUAUGUCGCUCACAAUUAUAGCAACGACCAAAAACGACUGUUUCUAUGUCGUCUCUAUAGUCGUUUCAAAUUGGGGAAUCUCAAUUUAUUUUCGAUAAAUGUCGUUAACGCCAACAGGAAUGCCAAAUAGGCGUUCUUAAGUCGUUUUAAAACGAUAACGACAACGGGAAUAGGGACGAAUAUUGUUCCAAAUUAAGAGCCAAAUCAUGUUAAUAUGUAUUCCUAUUCCCAUAGAAAUGGACGUAGAAUACGUACAAAUUAUCACCAAGACAUUAAGGUCCGAAAUAGCUACACCCAUAGCGCCAGCUGCACCCGUUGCCGCGCCAAGAACCACGGUUAUGCGAUCAUCAUCUGCCGCAGCAGUCAGGGAGACAAGGGAAGAGCAGCUAUUAGAAGAUCAAGGGCCUCCUCGAUAUCGUCUGUGCCAUCGCCCACACGCCCUGAAGAGAUGCCCGAUAUUUUUGAGCAUGAAGCCUGCUCAACACCAACAAAUUGCGAGAGCCCACGGGCACUGCAUAAUGUGCUUGGCAGAUGAUCACGCAACCAACGAUUGCUGGGCCGACCAAUCAUGUAGACACUGCCACAGACCACAUCACACGCUGUUUCACUGUUUUGCGAGACGACCCAAUCCGACACCAACUCGCACUCGUCAAAGACCACACCGCGAUCCGGUCCAGCGCCGAAGAGGCAAACGAACUGAAGCAACCAGAUUAGCACGGUCACGGCCGUUCUCGCCACGUCAUGAGUAUCAUCGUCAACAUCGCCGCCAAACCGGAUUAAGCGCCGUAGUCAGCACGCUCCAACAACUCCAGAGACUUCUAGGCAAUUAAUUCGCCUAGGGGGGCCGGGAUGUUUACAUGACUUAGUAACAUGCAACAACAUCUCUCAAAUGUCAUCACAUCAUUACAUCUCAAUGCAGCAGGUUACAACCCACGCCACUACACACGCACGCAUCAUACACAGCGUCUAACAUCGCUCAUCGUAAAACACAACAACCACACGAUCAUCAACGUAUUGAGUCCGAUAUUCACCACCAAAGUCAUUAAAACGGAUAGAUCCCAACGGGAUCUGCCUCAUUCGAUUCUAUCCAUGAACCAGAACGCUCGCUAUCAACCCGGUUUAAUAUCGUUACCAGUAAGGAAUCUCAUUCCGUCCGUCCAUUCCAUUCAGGAUACGGACAUCCGUUCUAGUGAGCUGUGUGUGUGUGCGGUGACUCAUCGUAUCUUAACUAAGUUAUUAAAGAUAAACCAAAUUGUUUUGACGAAAGUCAAUAUACCAACAUAUGUUCAUAUUAGAAUAAAUUAAGUCGAAAAUUUAAUAAUAAAUAAUGAUACCGUUUAACGAAUCUUGAGUGUAUGCGCUUUCACAUUCGAUUCAUACUUUCCGCACGAGGACGUUUUUGAUUAUAUUUCACCUUGUAUUGAGGAAUCAUAACGUUGUUGUAUCGCUUUACAAGGACAUGGAUUCGCCGAAAUUAGUACAAUGGAAAUAGAUUUGAAAUUCUUGAAGUAUAAUAAACCCUCCUCACAGAAAUUGGAUGAAUCUAGUACUAGUGAAAUUAAUGAAAGAACAGAUCUUACAAAAACUCCUAAAUAAACCAAAAGAGACCUCACAUAAUGUGCACAGCUUACACUUCCAGGCCGCUCGGGGUAUUUGACAUUUGCCACUCUCCCUCCAGCCUUUGUCAGAUAGCAAAAAUUGUUCAACUAUUCAAUACGUUUUACAAAUGUAUAUAGUGUAGUACGAUAAUACAUUUAUAAAGUAAUUAUAAUAAUAAACACCUAAAUGGCAUGCUAUUUUAAAUAAAUAUGAAA